AAAAUCUCAAUAACUCAAAAGAAAUAUGAAUUACAAUUCUCAGGAUCGUUUGGUGGCUACAACAAAAACCUAAAAAUAAAACUCAAUCCCUUGGGCAAUCCAAAUGAAGCCUAUUUAUAACAAUGUUUGGGAAAACCUUAAAACAUAAAACGACAACGUAAAAGCGGUUCAAAGGUUGUUUUGACUAAGUUGGUCGAGUGAGCAUCUCGAGUGACCAUCUUCUCUGCUUUGCUCGAUCGUGUCACUCGAGUGAGUGUGUCGAGUGACCUGUAAAACCAUCAGCUACUUCUUUGCUUUGCUCGAUCAUGUCACUCGAGUGAGUGCAUCGAGUGACAGGUAGUUCUGCUUCGCUUCCCUUCUGCUCGAUCUGCCACUCGAUCGUAUACGUCUGCUGCUCACUCGAACGUCAAUGUAACUGCAACGCAUCCUUGCUCCUCACUCGAUCGUCCCACUCGAUCGUUUGCAUGUCGAGUAACGCUUGUUCCUCUACUUCGCUCUGCAUGUCUCCUAAGUACCUGAAACACUCCAAAUAUGCACAAUGUAUGCAAGAUAUGCAUGAUAUGCAUAAAACCUACCUAAGUAUGUAAAACAUGCAGAAAGGGAUCAAUAUGAUGCGAAUCAACAAGUGAAUGAUGCUGAAAAGAUGAUGAAUGCAUGCUAGAAAAGCGAUGAAAUACAGACUUAUCAUGAAACCUACGAUAUUGUUCGAUAUUAGAAUAAUUUAAUAACUAAUCGUAGCUUCAAACACUUUGUUUUAAAUGAUUAUAUUUCAACUAUAAUGUACUUCAUUUUAUUCUUAAGUGUCAAGAAAGAUACAUGUACCAUAGAAGAGCAUCAUAAUGAACGAGAGACCACAUCCCAAAGGAUAUUGAAUGUGGAUCAAUCGGAGAAAUAGCAAAGUACAUACAUCCAAAUCAAGAGCCUAAGAUGUGUUUACCAGCUGCUAAAGAUGAUGAAGUUAGCACCAAAAAAAUUCUAUUAGAAGAAGAACCACCUGACCAGUCAUCAAAUCAAUCAACCUUGUUGAUUUUGAAAGAUACACUCACCGAAGAACCAUGUCAAGUAAAUAACCCAUUAUUUUGAUCUAUUUCUAAUAAUUUGAAUGAUGUGAUUAUAAACUUGUUAAACUUUAAAGAGUAUGACAAAAAUGUCGGUCAUUUAAAUAAACCAAUGGAAUUAGUUUCUUGUUUUAAAUCAUAUCGAUUAGUUGAUACACUUUGUGACAUACUUAUUGAUACACUUUAUGAAAAAGAAAUGGUUCAGCCCAUCAUUGUUUACAUGUUUAUAUUGGUCCCAUGACUUUAUUAAUGCACUUGUUCUUUGCCAAAAGUGUCAACAACAUUGCAGGUACAAAUAAGGAUCAUAAAGGCGAUUCACCGAAGAUGAAGAAACGCUUGAAUCAAAAUCAGACCCGGAGUAAACCAGCGCCAUUGGUCAUCACACCAUCCCUAAUGGAGACUAUGAGAGUCCCAAGUUCUUUCUUAAAUAAAGAGGAACCGCUGGAAUUCAAAGCUCAAGCAAAACCCCGAGAAGAAGCUAACCACGUUACACCAUCAACCGUUGUACUAGAUCAAAACGAAGGAGUGAUCUAAUAUUUCUUGCUCAAAGGAGAGCCACCUGAUGCACCAUGCAUCAUAAAGCCACAAAAAUACCAAGGUAAGACAUUGAACUCUCAAAAUCGUAUGAAAGCUAACUUGCUUUCUCUUGGUGCAGAUUGUACAGUUUCGAGGUUGAAACUUUUUCAAGGGAGAGGGUAUGAUGCGGACAUCAAAACUAUAUCAGACUGGGAGCACACCAAACUGGUCUACAUGGACAAUUUGGAGAAUCUUUGUCUAAAUGGAGUUCUGAUCAAGUAAAAGGCGAAGGGUUAAUCAUUCACCAUGAUAUUAACCUUAAGAAGUCUGAUAGUUCAAGAGGGAUAAAAAAUCAGCAAGUCAAAUCACCUUAUCAUUGGUAGAUGACUGUUGCACUCUUUUUCCCUUAUCUAGGGUUUUUCCCAAUGGGUUUACCUAGAAAGGUUUUUAAUGAGGCAACAUCAAGUCAUCAAGGAAUCAUUCACCAUCCAUAUGAUUCAAAGAUGAUAGCUGAUGUACAUUCUGAUAUACUCUCUGAUGAACAUGCUGAACUACUCGUUGACCGACUGGUUGAACUACACCAGAUUGUGAGCUGUGAGAAUUUGAAAUCUUUUAACACUUGGAUCAAACAUGAAGGGAGCCCACACAGUCAUUUGAUUCACUACAAGACCCCAGCCCAUGUAGAACAUCCCAAGAGAAGAACCAAGUCCAAAGAGUUGUCCCACACGAUCUUUGGUACACCUUACCACACAAGAAGCCGAUGAGUCACGACUUACCAUACAUGGAGCAAAAAGAGAUCAAGCUGCAAAGACUCCUUCCUUAUUCACUUAUGCACGUAUUGAAGCUUCCUACAAUGAACCUAGACACCCCAAGGAGUCAUGGAUUCGCACCCAAGCUUUCAAGACUCAAGGCAUCUCUCUACUUGCCUUAUUUUGCCGAUUUGGUUCAUAAAGUCCCAACGGCAAGUGUAAUUAAUUUUGUGUGAUUUGUUUCUUGUUUUACAUUCUUAGCACGUGUAGCUGAGCCUAUAUAAGCUCAUUAGCUUGUUCAUUUGUAAUUUCCCUUGAUCAAUUUAUAGUAAUAGAAAGUAUUCUUCUUGUCAAAGUUUGAGUCUUUGUCAAUCUUCUUCUUUAGUUCUUUGUGAGUGAGUCACUUAGUUCUUUAGAAACCUGCAGAUUAAGUUUGUUGUGUGAUUCAACAUCCUUCAUUCAUCGAUUGAUCUAGUGAGUCGAUUAUCCCACCGAUUGAGCGAGCCAAUCACAUGAACUAUCCCCUGUACCACCACUUGAUUCCCGAGAGAAUGCGUUAGAGCCAGCUCGUGAAUUCCAUCUUCCGCAAGCUAAGCUUAGAAUCUCUUGAUCAUCAAGUGAUCUAAAGUUGGAGUGACUCCAAUCUUGUAUCAUGGUGUGAACCGAUCGGUCUGGCACUUUCAAGUUUCAAAUCUGCAUCUGCUUCAACUACUCGUUAAAACGAGAUGUAUUCACGAAAUCGGGUGCAACUCUUGAAUGCACCGUUAGAUUUCCUUGAAAUAACUUUAAAAUGAAAUCUAACAUCUGUUUCCAUGUUGUUGCAAAAUAUGAGAAAGAUCUAACGGGGUAAAGUUGUCCAUAUGAUCCCAAACAUCUUACACUUAUACAUGAAUCUACAUCUUCAAAUGUGUGUUUGUAUCGCAAAACGGCCCGUUUUAUUCCAAAGCAACCUAAAACCUGUUAUGACUCUAUAAUGGAAUAAAAGACUCUAAAACACACUUUGACUCAAUAAAAGUUAUAAAAUAAAAGAGAAAAUAAAGAUUUAAAACCCAUAAAAACACAAUAUAUCAGCAAGCUGUGAAGUAAACCAAUGUAGCCACUUCUUUUAACCAUACAAAGAUUCGAGCUAUUCAUGAAGCCAAUCCCGAGUUUGUAUGGGUAUUCUUAGUCGUUCAACAUACACGGAUAGAGUAGUGUAUAUUUGAAAGGAAAGAAGCUCCAACGUUUAUGUAUGAAGACAAUAUUGCAUGCAUCACACAACUGAAGGAAUGAUAUAUUAAAGGUGAUAGAACGAAACACAUCUUACCAAAGUUCUUUUUCACACAUGAACUUUAAGGGAAUGGAGAUGUUAAUGUUCACUUAUUCACCAAGGCUACUUUCAAGAAAUUAGUUCAUCUUCUUUGAUUAUGUCGUCUCAAGCAUCUUGAUUGGAUGCACUCAUUAGGGGGAGUAAAUACGAUGCACUCUUUAUCCCUUAAACAUGAUUUCUUCGACUAGGUUUUCCUAGUUAAAUUUUUAACGAGGCAACAUCUUACGCGCAUUUACAACUAUUCAAUUAUAAUGGACAUCCAAGGGGAAGUAUUAUGUAUGAUUUAGUGGAUGCCCAUUAACCUAAUUUCUAGAAUGUUCUAGACUUACUUAUUCCUUAAGUUUUAAUUGUUUACCAAAUUGUAUUCCUAUAUAUACUAUCUCUUAUUAAUGGAAUGUGAAGACAAUUUUCCCCUAAAUAUCUUUUUAUAUAACUAUCGUAAAUGUUUUCCUUAAUAGACGGCCUAGAAUCCAUUCAAGCAUCCACCUAGUUGACGUAAUGUCUGCUUGAACGCUUUUAGGAGUCCAGAUUAUAUAAAACCACCUAAACUACCGCUUAGCUCACAUUUGGGAUGCUUGGUCGCUAUAUGCGUAUAGAAUCUGCCUAAGCCCCCGUGUAGGUCGCAUUUUAGAGCAUUAAUUUUCUGUAUGUUUAGUGUCUCAUCAAGAACUUAAAACAAUAAAAACAAAAAAAACAACAUAUUGUACUAAUAUGUCGUACUAUUUGCUCAGAUUUGGGAGAAAAAAAAACUCAACUAAAUUCGCCAAGUUCAUGUUCUAUUAGAAUCGCCAAAUUCAUACAGCGAAGAAGUAAGAAAAUGUGAAACAACUUGCAAAUUUCAGAAAAAAAAGAGAAUAGCCAUGGUUGUCGUGGAUAAAACUUGCUUGCCAAGACUCCUCCUGCAAUCAAACCCCAUAAUAUAUAUUUAUAUCCUGAAGAAUCAAAACAUAUGACGUUAACACUUAAUAGUGUGAUCCUUUAUAAAAACCAGAAAGACUAUAUAAACUGACCUCCCCCAUUUGUAGAAGUAAAAGCCUCUUAGAAUUUCCAACGCCACAUUAAGAUGAUUCUUGUGGAGAUUCUUAUACCCAUUUGCAUAGAACACAUAAGUUUAUGAGUCUUCCGACAACGAAGCAAACAACGAAUAUGAACGGUGAAACUCAACCUCAAAGUCAUGUUUCAAAUUAUCAUACUCAACCAAUUAGCUCUAACCCAUAUAGUAAUGGUCACGGAAGAAGACUUUUGGCGGAUUUCAUUUGGCACCUAAAUAGAUUAGGUUUGUUGGGAUUUCUUGGCCUUUUCCCCAAAAUUUUGGUUUAUUCAAUUCGCUUUGAUUGGUUACACUAAAUCUAGGUCUGGUUUGAUUUCAAUUUUUAAUGGCAUUUUAAGAUCUUUUAAGAAAAUUUCUUCUGUUUAACAGUGUUUCAAUAUGGUUUCUUGUUAAUGUUGGAAUAAGUAUGGACACAAUCAAAUCUUUAAUAAGAAAUUGUGAUUUUUUAUAUUAAUCUUCCAUAGAACUACAACUUAAUAUUCAAAACUGUUAACUAGGAGAGAGCUAAAAGUAAUGAAUUACAUGAAAUUAAAACUCAUAGACUAAAAACUACCAAGGAAAUAAAAUUCGAUACUACUACUGUAACGACCGGACAAUCAACUUUUUCAGUGGACCCCAUGUUCAUUCUUAACCCAUGGGUUCACCUCUCGUAAUGUGCCUCAUGUCCUUUCACUAGGCCUGUGAGCCCACCAAUAUCCGACGGCCGGUUUGCUAAAUAUGGGAAGCAUAAAGACUUGUUUACGGAUCCUACAAAUCACCACAUGAUCUUUUCCUGUGUUUUGGCCUAACUCACACAAUUCUGACAAUCACUUCCCAGAAGGUCAUCCAUCCUUUGACUACUCCAGCAUAAGCACGCUUAACUGUAGAGUUCUCUCAGGACCCUUGACUGAAAAGAUAAGUGCACUUUGUUGACAUAGGUGGCCAAAUCAAUUCAUUCUCCGCAAACCGGGUUCUCACAAUUCAACCCUACUAAUAGGCUACAACGUCCUCGUUGAGAACCAAUACCGUCACCCCCUGACAGUGUGAGCCCACUACUCCACACUUGUAACGUCCCCUGACUGUCAACUUUUCCAGUGGACCCCAUGUUCACUCACAGCCCAUAGGCUCACCUAGGCCUCAGUCCUCUCGUUAAUUAGGCCCGUGAAUCCAUCGAUAUCUAACGGCCGGUUUGCUACGUCUAGGAAGCCUGAAAACUUGUUUACCAACCAUACAAAUCACCACAUGAUCUUUUCAUGUGUUUUGCCUCAGUCACACAGUUCCGACAAACACUUCCUCGAAGGUCACCCAUCUUUUGACUACUCCAGCAUAAGCACGUUAACUAUGGAGUUCUCUCAGGACCCUUGACCGAAAAGAGAAGUGCACUUUGUUGACAUAUGUGACCAAAUCAAUUCAUUUAAGCCUCUCCGCAAACCGGGGUCUCAUAGCUACAUAACAUUUUUUGAAAUGAAUCUUGUUCUUGUUAUUGGUCCACAAUUUGGUCUCUAAAAGUGAGCUUUUCUUGUUUCUUCAUGUUGCAAUCUCUUCCACCUUUGAGUUAAUGAAAAAUUUGGUAAACUUCGUGGUUAAAUCCCUAAAAUGGAGUUUUCAGUCCUCAAAAUUUAGAAAAUAGAGGCAAAAUUUGUCAAAUAUAUUAUAGUGUCAUCUACGAAAGAGUCACGAUAUUAAGCAAAGACAGAUUUUUUUAUCAAGAAAUUAGAUUUCUCCAUUAUGUCUUAUCAAUCUUUCCAUCCUGAUUGCACUGUGUUGAAUUCAUACAUCGAACUAUCCAUUGUGCCUAAAAAUACAUAACUUUAAAAUAAUAUGACUUCCAAACCUAAACUUCAAAUUUUGUGCCUUAACAUACCAAAACAUGUUUUUUAACUCUGUUAACCUCCCAUUUAGUAAAUAUGACGUGGAAGCCACGUCUGCAUAGGAGAUAAAAAUGAUGUAAUUUUAUUCAUGUGAAGUUCUGACAACCUUUCUCUAACCACUCGCCAUAUAUAAUUAUUGUAAUUUAGUAAAUAAACAUUUAUUAUAUCUUCUCUAGUCACUCUUCUUCUUUUCCCCAACCAUCAUUCCUCAUCUCAUCUCAAAAAAAAAAAUAUAUAUAUAUAUGAUGUCUGAGGGAAUUUAACACUCAGUUAUUCAUUAGCUUUGACUUGAAAACUCAAAUUGCUUUUAAAUUAGAGUUGAAAGUAUACAAGAUUUGUGAAUACACCCAGAUACAAAUCGAUUGGAGAACAAUUCGAUUAUAAGUGGAUCUCGCCAAACCUAGCUUCACAAAGAUUACAACAGAACACAUAAACAUAUAAGGGUUUAUCAAAUCAUUGAAAAUAGUGUAAAAGAAGAGAGGAAGAUGCUGUAUUUAAGAAUUUGAGGUUUACAUAUUUCGGUGAUGGUUGGGAAGAAGAAGUGGCUAAAAAAUAUAUAAUAAAUGUUUGUUUACUAAAUUACAAUAAUUACACAUGGUCGAGUGGUUAGAGACGGGUUGUUGGGGUUUUAGACUUUGUGGGUUCACGCCUAGCUUGCGGCAAUAGUUUCUAGUUAUAUUCAAACAACGUCGUUUUGAUAUUAUCUACAUACAUGACUUCCACGUCAUAUUGGCUAAACGGAAGGUUAACAGAGUUAAGCACUAAAAUGGUUUUGGUAUGUUUAGGCACAAAAAUUGGAGUUUAUGUUUGGACUUCAAAUUAUUUUAAAAUUAAUGUAUUUUUAGGCACAAUAAAUACUUCGAUGUAUGAAUUCAACACAUUGCAAUUUUGCAGCUAUGAAAAACUGUUUUUCCCAUAUCUACAUCCUCAAAUGACUGUUCAAGAAAAUAAAAUGACUCAAAAUUCUUCAAGAGUGUUUAUUCUCAUAGAAAUCAAAGCCGUAAUAAACAAGAAGUAAAGCUUAUCAAGUGUCAUCUCUAUUGUAUCAUUAGUCAUCAUCAUUUUAGAUUCACAAAGGAAAGCAUUCAAUAUUUGUUUCACCUGCCAAAAUGGCAAACACGAAUAUGACUUUCUAUAAAUAUAAAAGGGGAAAUAAAAAAUAAAGGAUAAAUAUUUAAACAUUUGUCCAUCUAUGCAUUCUAUGGAUAUAUGUUAAUUAUUCCUAACUUAUCCUUUACAUUAGAUUUAAACAAAAAUUUUCAAAUAAAAUUGACUACAAUGCAUAGAAAAAUGAUGAAGAAUAGAUGCAGAAGAGGAGGACAAUCGUUCCACAAAAAACUCUCUCUUCUCUCUCUUCAAAAGUUUUCUUUUUUCCAGAUCUCUUCUAAAGGCCUUUGAGCUUCUCUCGAUUUGCUGUGGGGAUGAAGAGGUGAAUUAGUGUUCCUCCCUCUGUCGACAAGGGCGUGGUUCCUCCUCCGUUGAUGUGAUUGUGAAGCCAGGAUGACAGAAGGAGAGCGUUGCUGCAGAUCUGGUCGGUUUGAAGACGCCGGUUAGGAGCAGUGGUCGCUUUCGUGGCUCAUCUGUCAGAUCGGCUUAGCACUCACGGCGGAAGUCGGCGGAGGAGAUGGUGGGUUGUUGAAGCGCUUUGGCGGUUAACGGUAGAUCCGUCUGGAUCUUGAAGGCCGUCACGGAUUUCGGGCGUUUGGGUCUCCGAUUGAGUCAUCGGUCCUUCUCGUCACUGUGACUUGCUUCCGCCAGGCCGGAGUGGAGAGAUUUGAUUCGGCAAACUGGAAGAACCCCAGAUCUGGGAAAAAGAGGUUAUGUCUGAAGCUGGAGCUUGCUAGGAACGGGAGCUACCAUCAACGUGCCGAGACGUCGGAAAGUUGUUCAUACCGGGAGACUUGUGGCGGGCUGGUUGGUCGAGGGAAAAGGAACGGUGGUCGUGAGUCGGAUGCUUCCUCCCCGUUCACUAGAUACUUCGAUUUGCUGCAAAGUUGUGGUUCUCGCAUCCGCCGGAAAUGAUGAUCGGACCUUCUGCAACUCGGUAUCAAUAGGACACGAUUCUUUUUUCCGGUGACGGUUACUAUUCCAGUGGGCCUAAAGCCUCUGUUCCCCUUGUAUUAUCGUGCAUCAGCCCAUUAAGGGGCCCAUUAAUAAAAGAAGGCCCGUUUGAUUUUUUUUUUAAAAAAAAAAAAAAAAAAUGAUGAAGAAUACUUGAUGACACUUAUAACGACAAAAUAUGUUUUUAUUGCUUUUUUGGAUAGAUAAAAUUUAAUCUAUGAAUUUUAGAAUACACCUUCUAUAAUUAGAAUGUGUAUUCUAUACACUCUACAUAUUCUAUAAAAUUUAGAUUAUGUAUUCUACGCAUUCUUCAUGUUCUAAAAAAAUUAGAAGUAACUUUUUUUUCUACGGUAUUUAGAAUUCCAAUUAUUAAAAAAUUUAGAAUACAUAUUCUAUACUUUCCUCUUUAUUUUACAAAAAAAUAUAAUACAUAUUCUAACGUUUACUCUUGCUCUAUAAAUUUCAGAAAACAGAUUCAUGUGGAUUUCUUAAGAAAAUGAGAAUUUUUGAGAAAUACCCCUUUUGGUGUACCCCUUUUUAAAAAUACCCCUCUUUUCUAUCUAUUUUUAAAAAUACCCCUAUUCAAAUAUGGAAAAUUAUAAACUUUUAUAUGGUUGAUAAAGUACAUCAAGAUCAUUUUUACUUCUGCGAGACUAAAUCCAAAUAUUUGUAAGGUUGUAAAAGGUUCUAAACGGCAUUUAUAAGGUUUUUAUAAGGGUUUUAAAAGGUUUACAAAGUUUUUAUAAGGUUUUUAAAUGAUUUUUAAAAGUUUUUUAAAAGGUAUUUAAACGGUAUUUAUGAUAUAUAUAUAUAUAUAUAUAUUUACACACAUAUAAAGAUAAUUUGUGUCUAUAAAUAUAAGGUUAAACAUAUUUUUUUUAUAAAUUUCAAAUUUUAUAGUGACUUUUUGAUAAAAUUAGAAAGAGUGGUAUUUUUAAAAAGUGAUAUUGGAAAAGGGGGUAUUUUUGAAAUUCCCCAAAAAAAAAUCAGAAACGUAAACACAAACUGAAUAUUAAUAUGUUUUUGCAAUUAUUUUAAUUCCUUAAGAUGUUUUAUCUCAACGAAAAAACAUUUAAAUUUUAUAAUUAUGAGGGCAGUGCCACCCCAAAAAUUUUAAAUAAAUCUUUUCAAAAUUAUUCUUUUAUAAAUUUUAAUAAUUUAGAAGCUUAGUAAUCAUGAAUUUGUUUUUGAGGUUUUUAACUUAUGAACUUACGUUUUAAUAAUUUAGGCCAGUGAAGCUAUGACAGUGCAUCUCGAAGAGCUCACACCAUAUGUCAUAAUUCACCUGAUUCAUAUCCAAAAUAAUGGGAAUAUGAGCCUUGAUCUGAGUGAGAGUGAGAGAGCGAUCAGUUGCAGGAGCCGCCAUUGUUAGACAAGUGAGGAGAGAAAUGUGAAGAAGAAGAAGAAGGAGAGAAGAGAUAUAAAAUAGAGGAUGAGAAAACGUGGACGGAGAGAUAAAAAUAAUAUGAAAACAAAGGAAUACGAGAGAUAGAGAAUAAAAGAAGAAUAAAAUAUAAUAAUGAGAGAAAGUGAGAAGAAGAACGUGGGAUUAGAGACAAAGAACGAGAGAAGAAGAAAAAAAAAUUAAUUACGUUGUUUAAUUAUUAACUACGUUGUUACUUGUUAUUAACUACGUUCUCCACAGAACGUGGGAUUAGGUCUUAAUUAUUAACUACGUUGUUUAAGACAAACAUUUAUCACUUAGUUUAAGGUAAUUUUCCAUUUAGAAUCCUAUGAUUGCAUUUGGUACUGAUUUAGGUACAAAAGUAGGCAAAAGGAAGCUUUGGAUUGACAAAACAUUUUAGUUGUAUCAUAUUAUAUUUUGAAGAUUAGCUAGAGGAUUCAUGGAAAUUAGAUUGAAAAGCAUACAAAAUUAAGUAAUUUUGGUUUUUUUAAAAGUGGAUUUGGAUUUACGAUUAGGAAAUUAUGAAGAUUUAAUGAAAAAUUUGGUGUCUUGUUUUGAUUUUUCUUUGAAAUAGACUUAUUUACAAUGCUAAUGUUUUUGUUCUCCGUCAGCGCCAAAAUUUGAUAAAGAUUAAGUUUUAAAUCUCUAAUCACUCAUGCCACAAGUGUAUGUUAAUUGUAAUUAAGAGUAUAGGAUCGCAAAGAAGAAAGAACUAACACACAAAGAAUACAAUUGUUGGGAUUUAGAUCACUAAACAAGAUUAAUCCACUUCCAUGAUACCAAUCACUUUUCUACUCAUAUAAUCUCAAAAAAGCUCAAAGACAAUCAAAUGAUUAAAAAGCACAAUAACAAGUGUAAAGAGCAACUAGUCAACAAUUUUCACUGAUAAAUAAUAAAAAUCGUCUAAUAAUUUGGUUCAGCAUUUCCUCAAACAUCUUCCGCGAGAGAUUUCAUAUUGUCUUAGUCAACAUGAUCACAGUUGAUCUAGCCCUAAGAACACAUACUAUGAAAAGAUCUUGAACAAACUAAACCGGAGCUCAACAAAUCAAUCUUUAAUUAGACCAAAAUCUAAAAUCUCCAAAAACUUUUGAAAGACUACUCACUUAUGAUCAUGAUAAUACAAGCAAUUGAUUAUAUCAUUCUAUGAUCAUAACUAGAGGAAGUAAUUAAGGGAAUCUACAAGAAAAAGAAAAAUCAAAACUUCAAAGAUAAAUGUUUAGUAGGAAACCUUACAAGCUAAAAGAAAAUCUAACAAGGCAUAAGUUUUCUCUAGUUAGGUUAAUAGUAUUUCUAGGAAAACAAAAUAAAUCGGGAAAACCUGGGACAUACCCUGGUGAACACUCGUUUACGAUGAAUUAGUCAAUGGCAAGGUCGCUGGUUCGUUCGGCUGUCUCCGAAGCUAACAAUUGACCUUCGAGGAAGGUUUCGUUGGAUGGAGAGAAACCUUCGUACAAAUGAAGGAUUUCUUGAGGGAAGAUGGAUGGGUCGAAUCGACAUCCCGAGGGUUAUGGACGAUCCCUCGGUAGGCUGACUUUAAGAUUAAGAAAACCCGGUUCGAGAGUCCCCAAGGUUUUUCGAUUCUCUAAGCUUCACACUUAAAGAGAAACAAAGAAAGAAGCAAAGAAAAGAAACAUUUUCAAUAAUUCAUUCAAGCAUGUCGAUCCCAAUAAAUAAUCAUGCCUUUAAAUAGGCAAGAGACAAAGAAAUGGAGCCUAAAGUAACCCUAGAGAUGUGUGUUCUUAAGCUCCACACAAAAGGAGAAAGAAAGAGAGCAUUUUCUAACGGCUUUCUCGGUGAAAAGUAAAGUUUUCGAGAAAUUAUCAAUAGCGAAGGUAAAAGAUCAAUAAAGAAAGCUUUAUUGGUGAAGGAUUCCAUCUUCCGAGAGAAUCUUCACUUCCUCGGCUCUGAAGCUUGUCUUCAAACGCUUCCAAGCCAUGAACCAAGUGGGAACAAAGUAAAGAUCACUAGAGCUCGCUGCCUCACUAAAAUUCCUUCGGUAAUCCCAUUUGGGACAAACCCAAAGUGGAAAAAGAGUACAGCUUCUUCUAAUGACUUAGGUAUUAGAGCAAUAGGGUUUGAUACCCUUUCCAUUGAUCACACGAAUAUAUAUAUAUGUACAUGAGAGAAGGGGAUGUAAAGAGUCCACACUAAACGUAUAAAGAUAUUUGUAUAUAUCCUAUCUAAUACUCCCCCGCAGACGGAGCGGAGGUUCACGAACGUUCAGGCUGGAGCGAAAUUCAGUGAACAAUGGAGAUGGAAGACCUUUGGUGAAGAUAUCGGCAUAUUGCAAGGCAGACGGAACAUGAAGAACGCGGACCUGACCAAGUGAAACACGUUCUCGGACAAAGUGGAGGUCGAUCUCGACAUGCUUUGUACGUUGAUGUUGGACCGGAUUGGAAGAGAGAUAGACCGCCGAAAUGUUAUCACAAUAAACAAGUGUAGCCUUGGUGAGGGGGCAACCCAAUUCUAAGAAAAGAUUACAAAGCCAAGAGGUUUCAGCCACGGCAUUGGCGACACCACGGUACUCAGCCUCGGCGCUGGAUCGAGAAACCGUAUGUUGGCGUUUCGAGGACCAAGAGAUGAGGCUAUCGCCGAGGAACACACAAUAACCGGACGUCGAGCGUCGUGUGGAGGGACAACCAGCCCAGUCGGCAUCCGUAUAGGCCACGAGAUCCGUAGUAGAGGAUUUAUAAAGUUGUAGCCCAUGAGAGAUCGUACCUUUAACAUAGUGAAGAAUCCGCUUAAGAGCAUUGAGGUGGUUUUGCCUAGGAUCAUGCAUGUAUAAGCAGACUUGCUGAACGGAAAACGCAAUGUCAGGACGAGUAAACGUUAGAUACUGAAGCGCACCAGCAAGGCUACGGUAGAGGGACGGAUCAUCAACCGGCGGGCUAGCAUCAGCCUCAAGCUUUGCAUUGGUGUCAACCGGAGUGAGAGUUGGAUUGCAAUCAGUCAUAGAGGCGCGAUGAAGAAUGUCAGCGGCAUAGUUGUGUUGGCUUAGAAAUAGGCCGCCAUCAUUAUAUUUAACAGCAAUGCCAAGGAAAUGGUGAAGAACGCCAAGAUCCGUGAGCUCGAGGUCGUUACUGAGGGCCGUUAUGAGUUGACGCUGAAGUUGAGGUGUUGAGGAGGUAAGAACAAUAUCAUCAACGUAAAGAAGAAGAUAAGCCAUUGUAGAGCCUUGUCGAUACACAAACAACGACGGAUCCGCACGACUUUGAACAAAACCAAUUAGUUUUGCAAUCGUAGCAAAACGAGUGUACCAAGCACGUGGUGCUUGCUUGAGGCCGUAGAGAGAGCGGCAGAGCAAGCAUACAUAAUCUGAUUUGGAUUUGUCAACAAAGCCCGGAGGUUGAUGCAUGUAGACCGUUUCUUUAAGAUUGCCGUGUAAGAAUGCGUUUUUCACGUCAAGUUGGCAAGAGGCUAAUCACGAGCGAGAGCGAGAUGUAAAACAGCACGGAUCGUGGCCGGUUUGACAACGGGGCUGAAUGUCUCGUCACAAUCAAUGCCGGGUUGUUGAGAUUUGCCAUUAGCUACCAGGCGCGCCUUGUACCGAGAGAGCUUCCCAUCUGCAUCAAACUUAUGACGAAAAAGCCACAUAGAACGCACAAUGUUAGUCGCCGGAGGCCGCGGGACCAAGUCCCACGUUCUGCGUUUAAUAAGAGCAUUAUAUUCCUCCCCCAUAGCAUUAAGCCAGUAAGGGUCCUUUGCUGCCAUCACAUGAGAAAAAGGAAGAGGAGAAAUGGAGUCUGUAUGAAUACACAUAGGAGUACGGGGUUUGGUGAUCCCGUUUUUACUACGAGUCGUCAUAGGAUGAGUAUUUAUAGGUGUUGGGGCAGCAUUUGGAACUGGUGGUGUAGGAAUGGUGGUCGGAGAAGAGACCAGCGAGGAAGGUAAGAGAGGCGGAGGAAGAGGUUCAAGAGAAACUGGUGGACAUGGUGAUGAGGGUUGUGUGGCAAAUGGGAACACAUACUCAAUAAACGUCACAUGCCGGGAAAUGAUUAUUUUUCGAGUGGAAAGUUCGAGACACCGGUAGCCUCUAUGAUUGGAUGGGUAGCCUAGAAAAACACAAGUUGUAGAACGCGGAGCUAACUUAUGAGAAGAUGUAGAGAUAGUGUUAGGAUAGCAUAAACACCCAAAAACACGAAGAUGAGAGUAAGUAACAGGAUGUUGAAAAAGACGAGUAAAAGGAAUAAGAUUAUUAAUAGAAGAGGAAGGAAGAAUGUUAAGAGUAUGAACCGCUGUGUUUAAGGCUUCUACCCAAAAAGAGUAAGGCAUAUGGGCUUGAAGAAGAAGAGUGCGCACUAGAUUGUUAAUGGUGCGGAGCAUUCUCUCAGAGCGCCCAUUUUGUUGAGAGGUAUGUGGACAAGAGAGGCGGAUUUCUGUGCCGGUGGAAGCGAGAUGAUCAAGGAAGGCACGACUGGUGUAUUCGCCUCCAUUGUCACAUUGAAGAGCCCGAAUUGUUUUAUUAAAUUGAGUUCGAACAUAAGCUGAAAAAUGAAGAUAUUUGCUAAAGGUAUCACUUUUCUUGUGGAGAGGAUAAACCCAAAUAAAAUGUGAAAAAUGAUCCAUAAAUAAUAAAUAGUACUUGAAACCACUAUGACUGAGAACCAGAGAGGUCCAAAUGUCAGAGUGAAUUAUUUGAAAAGGUUCCGUAACAAUAGAGGAAGAAGAGAAGAAAGGAAGAUGAACGUGUUUGCCCAACCGACACGCAUGACACAAAGACGUCAUGUCAGCCUUAUUAUGAUACGAACUACCCAGAGAAUUUAAAGUGCGUUGAAUGGAGCUACCCGGAUGACCCAGACGACGAUGCCAAAGAGAGCUACCCGAGAAAAGAGCAAGCGGAAGAGAUGAGGAAGGAGAAGGGGUCACCGAGUACAAAGGGCCCGAACUGUCACAUCGGAGUAUUGGUUUCCUGGUUUGAAGAUCCUUAAUAGAAAAACCAAUGGGGUCAAAUUCAAUAGAACAAAGGUUAUCAGUGACAAAUUGACGGACAGAGACAAGAUUUUUAAUGAUAUUAGGGCAAACAAGAACAUUUUUAAGAUGAAGGGGACGAGAAGAAGAGGAUAGAGUACCAUGACCAAGUUUGGUGACAGGAACAGAGGAACCAUUACCAACUAACACAGAGGGAGUUAUGCUCGUAUUAAAAACAGAAUUGAGGGUACCUUGUUGAGAAGUAAUGUGAUUAGUGGCCGCACUGUCCAUAUACCACGACGCGUUGGCUGGUUCUUGUAAGGACAUGGUGUUGAACGCAUGAGCGAGUGCAGACGGUAGGACUGUGGGUUGAACAGCGUUUUCGUGCUGCACCAUGUGAGCUUCAUGUGGAUGUCGCGGAGUGUAGGGACCAAGAAUGCUGUUUUGACGAGGCGUUGGAGCAUGAGCAGUGUGAGCUGGUGGUGAUGGAAUCAUGGGAAAUCCACCAUGGUAAUAUGGAUAUGGCCAUUGAGGUGGGACGAAAGGCCACGACGGAUAGCCAUAACUGUUGGUGUUGGAGAUGCCAGCAUGAUGACCAGAAUUGUGGAAGCGACCUCGUCCGCGAUUUCCUCUUCCACCACCACGACCACGAUACUUGUUGUUGCCUCUGUAGUUGUUGUUGUUGUUGUUGUUGUAGGUUUGCGUGGAUGGAGCAGAGGGUGAUGAAUCGCCCGCAUAGAGAACCGUAGGAGAAGAAGCAGAGGAGGUGUGAGUGAUGGUCGUGCGUUGGUGCUGCUUGAGUCGAUCCUCUUCGGCUUGAAGCAUGGAGCGAACGAUGUCGAAGGUCGGAAACGGGGUGCGAUGUCGGAUGACAUUAUGAAUGCCAUCAAAUUUAUCGUUCAAUCCAUUAAGACAAUGCAUGACAAGAGCCCGAUCAGAAACUGGUGCAUCAACAUUGGUGAGGAGAUCCGAAAGGGACUUCAGUUUACGGCAGUACUCGUGAACAGAGAGGUCUCCAAUGGUGAUGGUUCGUAGUUCGUUCUCCAACUGUAGUGCUCGGUUCUCCUUGUUGUCACGAAACUGGUUUUCCAAGGCAGUCCAGAGGUCACGAGCAGUAGCUUUCGGUUUGAGAAUGGUUUCGACGAGAGAGUCGGUGAUGGUGCCGUAAAUCCACAUCUUCACGAGACCGUCACGUUCUUUCCAGAUUUUUUCAGUGGUGGGUGUAGCGUUGGAGGUGCCAUCAAGGUGACCAAGAACGCCGAAGGUGAGACAAUGAGUCUCAAAAAGCUCCCUCCAUACAUCAUAGUUCAUUUUGUCCAUGUUGAGGACAAUUGUGAUGUAAGCACGAAUCUGACUUAUUCCAAACGGUUUGUCAGAAGCGUUAGUGGUGUUGGUAGAGUCAGCCAUGAGAGUUGCAGAGAGAGAAACUAGAGAGAGAAGAAAGAUAGAAGAAGAAGAAGAUCAAAAGAGAAGAGAGGAGAUGAGUAAGAAGAGCACGAUUAGGUGAGAGGAACUCUAGAUCGUCUGGCGGCUGAUACCAUAUUAGAGCAAUAGGGUUUGAUACCCUUUCCAUUGAUCACACGAAUAUAUAUAUAUAUGUACAUGAGAGAAGGGGAUGUAAAGAGUCCACACUAAACGUAUAAAGAUAUUUGUAUAUAUCCUAUCUAAUAUUAGGGAGGUCCUCACUCGAGCGUGAUGUUCAAAACACACGAUUCUAGCUUCCCAAAGAUAGUUUCACCUGAUGGUCCUUCCAUGGUGAUGCGCGCCAUGAACCUUCGAUGAGAAUGGUUGGAGCUUGGCUUGUUGGAUGGAUGAUUGAUGAAGACGUCCAUGUGAUGACCUCUCCUUGCUCCUCUUGAUAAUCCUUGGUAGUCUUUAGAUGCGUUGAAACCCGAGUUGUUGCCCUCGAGUUGGUCGCUUGGCGAUGACUUCGGCAGGAUCGAUGAUGGAUGCGACCAUACGAAUGUUGGAUCCAAAUGAUGCAACAAGGAAACAAAUUAAGACCAAACACAAAAACUAUUGUUUCUAGAAACGAAUAUGACAAUAUAAAGAAACUAAUUCUGCACACUUAACUUUCUUGAAGAGCACAUAUUCUAGCUGUUGUAGGGGCAGUUGGACCUGAAAAUAAAUAUUUGAAUUGAACUUACCUGGAUACGAUUUAGGCCCAAUAGAUGUUCAGAUAAAUCUUAUGUUACUCGUUGAUCUACUUCAGGAGUCUUGUUAGGUACUCGUUUGUUUGUUGGUUUCUUGAAGUAAAGGACUUCUUGUCUUUUGUGUAGCAUGAUCAGUCUAUUGAAGCUCUUCCAUGUCUUGAUCUUGAUCUUAAUCUUCACUCUCUUGAUCACUCUAGAAGGUAAAACUUGUUUCGCUCGUCUCUUGUAUCUUCAAUGUCUUACCUUGGCUUCUAAAAGGUUUUUGACCUGCCAAAGGAGAAUUCAUACCUUAGGAAAUAGUACGUUCAAGACUCAUUCGGAUAAAAGCUUUAGCAAGCUCUUCCUUCAGCAAUCCUGAUGAUUUCUCCUCGCCUAAAUCCAUCUUGAAAACCCUGUUCUAUCUAAGGUAAAUGUGCUAAAUCUAUGGGCGACAAAGGAUUAAUUCCAUAGACUAUAUCGAAUGUAGAUAGUUUUGUGGCCGAGUGAACGACACGAUUAUGCGUAAUCAAGUCAUGUAGCCAUAUACCUAUGAUACUAGGAUUUUUCUAUCAAUUACCCUAGAGUACUAUCAUGUCAUUGCAGUACAAUAGGUAUCAAUCCAAUCAGGUGUGAUGCUAGCAAUCAAGAUAUAUCAGAGAUGAUUAAGUCAAGCAAGCAUAAAUGAUUUUUGGUUUUCAGCGAUCUUAAGCGAACAUGUUAAACAUGCAAUAAAUGUAAAGCUAUAAACCAUAUACUACCAUGCAUAAACUAAAACAUAACGAUUAUUGAUACUGGCAAGAAAACAAAGCAGACCAAGUAAAUAACAAGAGAAUUAAACAGAAAGCACAAAUGGAUAGAAGAUCCCGAGGAUGAGGUUAUUGAUGUAGGUGGAGUAUGCUAAUCUAUUUUGAGUGUUUAUCAAACUGCAAACAUUCUAAUCCCUAGACAAUGAACUUCUAAUACUAGUCAAUCCAAUCUCUUGGCAGAAACUAUCAAAUUUACAACACUUCCUAAUCUCAAUUCUCAUUGAUGAAACAUGCAGUAAGCAUGCAUAAAGAAACAGCUCAUUAAUGUCAAUAAACAUCUUAGACAACCAAUCUCUUGGGCUAAGCAUGUAAAUCUCUGACACUAGUUGGUUCAGACAUUUCAUCAUAUACCUUUCGGGUAUGAAAUGUCUAUGACCUAGUUCCAAUUGAUUAGAGAAAAACUAGCUAAUAAAACUCUAGUCUAGAAGGGAAACAAAACGAAUCUAACAUAAACACUCUAGCAAACUAACAUCCUCCACCUAACCUAUCCCAUCCUCAAGAACCCUAACACUACUCAGACGCAGAAAUCAUGUUAAACAUAAUGAAACAAGAGUUUCUCAAAACAUGCAUAAUAAUAAAGAUGACAGGAAGAGUAACAACAAUGAUUCAAGAACUAACUGCAAAGUAUCAAUAACUCAAAAGAAAUCUCGAUUACAAUUCUCAGGAUCGUUUGGUGGCUAACAACAAAAACCUAAUAAAAAUAAAACUCCCUCCCUUGGGCAAUCCAAAUUAAGCCUAUUUAUAACAAUGUUUGGGAAAACCUUAAAACAUAAAACGACAAUGUAAAAGCGGUUCAAAGGUUGUUUUGACUAAGUUGGUCGAGUGAGCACCUCGAGUAACCAGCUUCUCUGCUUUGCUCGAUAGUGUCACUCGAGUGAUCGUGUCGAGUGACCUGUAAAACCAUCAGCUACUUCUUUGCUUUGCUUGAUCAUGUCACUCGAGUGAGUGCAUCGAGUGACAGGUAGUUCUGCUUCGCUUCCCUUCUGCUCGAUCUGCCACUCGAUCGUAUACGUCCGCUGCUCACUCGAUCGUCGAUGUAACUGCAACGCAUCCUUGCUUCUCACUCGAUCGUCCCACUCGAUCGUAUGCAUGUCGAGUAACGCUUGUUCCUCUGCUUCGNNNNNNNNNNNNNNNNNNNNNNNNNNNNNNNNNNNNNNNNNNNNNNNNNNNNNNNNNNNNNNNNNNNNNNNNNNNNNNNNNNNNNNNNNNNNNNNNNNNNNNNNAGGGAUCAAUAUGAAGCGAAUCAACAAGAGAAUGAUGUUGAAAACAUGAUGAAUGCAUGCUCAAAAAGCGAUGAAAUACAGACUUAUCAACUCCCCCAAACUUAGUCUUUGCUUGCCCUUAAGCAAAGCAAAAAGAAACAAAGUGGAAGAGAGGUUUGAAAAUGGGGUCUCAAAACCUGUAAC
rnacentral:lncRNA from 1 species